UAUGAGCGCUACGCACACACACACACACAGGUAAAAGUCGUCUGCUUUGAGGGCAUAAUUACACAGUAUUUUGGAGAUCUGUGUUGCUGAAUCUUUUGCAAUUUGUUCAAUUAAUAUUGGAGAAGUCACAGUAGAAAGAUGGAGUUGGGAAGCUUUAGCCUUUGGCCACACACUUGUUUAAAAUUCCCGGAGCUGAAACUUUACUAUGGAUCAGAGCGCGGUCAAGCAGACAUGGAUCCCAACCGAAUGUCAACCAGCAGGUUUCGCUGCCGUCGACACCCGUGAGACAUGGCGUCAACACACCCGUGGACAAACCCCUCCAACUACCAGCCCUCGUGUUACCACUGCUGUUUCCCUCCUGGACCUGGUUUGCCUUUCCCGAUCCUUGACCCUGCUUGGACUUUCGGACUCUCUCUCUUGCCUUUGACCCUCGCUUGGACCUUGGACUUCCCCUGGCUUCUCCCUCCUCGGAUUUUGGACCCUGAACAUCCAACACGCACCUCAACAAACCUCACGCUGCCAGACCACGAUUCCCAUUAGGAUGGCAGUAUAUGGGACAGGAUUUUAUGAUGUGUCUGCAUUCUGCUCCUCUGCACUACACUCACAUGCCACAGAUGAAGGGUCUCAUUUCAUCAGCCUCCACGCGGCGAGACACAGAAACUGGAAACAAUUCAAUGACUUUUAGGCUAAUGAUGAAUACACGGAGACGCUCCCGGGGUGUUAAAAGGCUAGUCCCUCAGCCCGAGAAACAAAGAGGCGACAAACCUAAAAAGUGCCUGAAAGAUAUUUAUUGGCAUUGACAUGCAUUGCAUCGAACAUCAUUCCUGACCAUAAGACCAUGCUAUUUUUGUAAUACACAAAUGCAUUGCAGGUAGUCUGAAUAAAGGUGCUUUAAACUUGACUUUCAGGCUUUAUCUUUUAUACUUCAUAUUUUAGUCGACUAAAUUUACUGUAAUUUUAGCUGACUAAAAUGUUGUGUAGUUUUGUUGACUUAAACUAAACAA